GGAGGCACAGGAGGCUUGCCUUGAGGCUGAGCUCCAGCACGAAUUUGCCCCACACCAGGACGGAGGGUCUCCUUGGGAGACGAAGCCCAGGCGGAGAAAUCGCGGCCUGGGGACCCCUGGCCUCACUCAGGAAACAACCCGCCCGGCGCGAAGGAUGCGUCUCCCUAGCCCAGCGCCGGGAAACUGGAAGGCAGGCGGACUCUUGAGGCUCCAGCAGGAUGUAAUCUCAAAGAAAAAAAAAAACUUAAAAAAAACCCCUAAAUUUGCACAGAACUAAACUACAAGCCCACAGGUCCCUGCGCCGCAAGCGAGGUGGGGGAGGAGGGGGCGGAACGGCCGAGGCGCAGAGUGGAGGAUGCGGAACGAACUCCGUCCCCUGCAGAGUCGGUGCCUUCGGGGGCUCCACCACCGCGCGCUCCCACUCGCAAGGUUUGGACUCACAGGGGAGGCCGAAGGUCUGCACGACACUUGGAAGAUCACUUCCCAUCACGCAAGGGAGAAAAUGAAGCUCUCUACUGGUCUUUAUCAGAGAAGCUAAAAAUUCCCCCUCUCUUUUCUGCAAGUUUCCCAAACCCCGUGACUCUGAUUUCCAGGCCAGAGAGUAAGGUUUAAUUUUUAUUACUCUUUAUACUUUGCAUAUGGAGAGUGCCUGAACAGCACUGUGAAGUACUAGUUAUUAUGAGCCUGGUGUGGGCAAGGCCAGGCCUUGGUGUGACAAGAAAUUCAAUCACACCUGCUCAGUGAUCUGUGGGCCCCAAGUCAGCUCCUAUGUUCUCCUGACAAACAGAGCCCUCCCCUGCACUGGAGUUGGUGAGCAGACUCCUUCUUUGGGCUGAGCCAGUCCCAGGAUUCUUAAGGGGUUGGGGUAGUGACCCCAAAUUUAACAGAACUGGAAUUCUGUAUGUGGCAUUUCUAUUUCCAUUCCUAAACGGUAGGGAAGGAGAACGAGCAUGUGGAAAAUAAGAAACCUCGUUAAAAAUUUUAACUUAAAAGACCACUGGGUUAAGAGAACUGAAAAUUAUGUCCAUAUAAAAGCUUGUCCACAAAUGUCAUGGCAUCAUUAUUCAUAAUAGCUGAAAAGGAGAAACAGUUCAAAUGGCCGCCUGGCCACCAACUAAUGAGUGGAUAAACAACAUGUGGUAUAUCCCUACAAUGGAUCACUAUUUGACAAUAAAAAGGAAUGAAAUAUUGACACAUGCUACAACAUGGAUGAACCUUAAAACAUUAUGCUAAGUGAAAGAAGCCAGCCACAAGGGAACACCUAUUGUAUGAUUCCAUUUAUAAGAAGUUCCUAGGCUAGGUAUAUCUAUAAAGACAAAAAGUAGACUAUUGGUCACCAAGGGCUAUAGGUCAGGGUGGAGACAUUGGAAGAUGACAGUUGAGUGGGUCAGUGUUUCUUUUGGCGGGUGAUGAAAAUGUUCUAAAACUAAUUGUGGUGAAGGCUGAACAACUCUGUGAAUGUACCGAAACCACUGGAUUUUGCACUUUAAAUGGGUAAAUUGCAUGGUGUGCAAAUUAUGUCUCAAUACAGCUGUUAAUCUUUUUUUAAUGAUACUCUAAAAACGACCAUUGGUUUAUGUAUUUUUCUGAAGUUGCUCACCUUGGGAUAAAUAUGUCUAGCUUAAAAACAGAUUGUAUGAACUAAGUAAAAUGAGAAUGUGGAAAGAGUGAUUUUUCUCCUAGGUAGAGAGACUGAUUUGCAGAACCACGUGUAGCCACAACAGUUGUACCAGUAAAUGUUUUGAACUUUGCCGAACAUUUUUUUCCUUAGCCUGAAAUCAUUAAUACCUGUUUGAAUGAUAA
ensembl:lncRNA